rnacentral:lncRNA from 1 species
UAUAUAUAUAUAUAUAUAGGCUCAUGAUCAAAUAGAAACCACUCUUAAAAUAAAAACUAGAAACCAGUUUCCCUACCACUAUUUAUAACUAUGGGUAUCACUAAUUUAUACUGCCCUAACCACUGUUUUUAUAUAGUAUGUAAACAGCGAUUUUUAUUAUCAAAAUUGAGAAAAUCUACUUAUCUAAACUAUUGAUAAUCGAUUAUAGAUGAUCAAUUUCAUCCGUAGGAAGGUUCUUGACGGUAGGAAGCCGCAAGAGAAGUUGUAUGAUGAUGGUAAGUAGUCGUUAGUUUUG